UCUGUGGAUCCAAAAUUUAUAGCAUUCUUCUACCACCACAGGGGCUCAUAUGACAUUGACAGACAAGACACUUUUCAGAAAGACAGAUAAGUCAAAAAUUUUUAAAAUCUUAUUGUUCAUGCAUAAAUGCAGAAAACAAUACCUCUAGUAUAUGUUUGUGUUGUAUUGUACUUUCACAGAACUGUUUGAUACUUAAUACUAUGUUUAUUAAGAAAAAUCUUUGCAAUGGUUAUGGAAUUA
rnacentral:lncRNA from 1 species